rnacentral:rRNA from 1 species
GAUGAACGCUUUCUACAGGCUUAACACAUGCAAGUCGCGGGGUAACAUCUGGGAGAGCUUGCUCUUCCAGGAUGACGACCGGCGCACGGGUGAGUAACGCGUAUCCAACCUGGCCCAUACCACGGGAUAGCCCGUCGAAAGGCGGAUUAAUACCGUAUGCUGUCAUCAAGAUGCAUAUAUUGAUGACGAAAGGACUGGCGGUAUGGGAUGGGGAUGCGUCUGAUUAGCUUGUUGGCGGGGUAACGGCCCACCAAGGCGACGAUCAGUAGGGGUUCUGAGAGGAAGGUCCCCCACAUUGGAACUGAGACACGGUCCAAACUCCUACGGGAGGCAGCAGUGAGGAAUAUUGGUCAAUGGGCGCAAGCCUGAACCAGCCAAGUAGCGUGAGGGAAGACUGCCCUACGGGUUGUAAACCUCUUUUGUUUGGGAAUAAAGUGCGGGACGUGUCCCGCAUUGCAUGUACCAUUUGAAUAAGGACCGGCUAAUUCCGUGCCAGCAGCCGCGGUAAUACGGAAGGUCCGGGCGUUAUCCGGAUUUAUUGGGUUUAAAGGGAGCGCAGGCCGUGGGUUAAGCGUGUCGUGAAAUUCCGUCGCUCAACGGCGGACGUGCGGCGCGAACUGGUCCACUUGAGUACGCGGGACGUUGGCGGAAUUCGUGGUGUAGCGGUGAAAUGCUUAGAUAUCACGAAGAACUCCGAUUGCGAAGGCAGCUGACGGUAGCGCAACUGACGCUGAGGCUCGAAAGUGCGGGUAUCGAACAGG